AACGAACGCUGGCGGCAGGCUUAACACAUGCAAGUCGAACGCAUCCUUCGGGGUGAGUGGCAGACGGGUGAGUAACGCGUGGGAACGUGCCCUUCAGUUCGGGAUAACCCAGGGAAACUUGGGCUGAUACCGGAUACGUGCGAGAGCAGAAAGAUUUAUCGCUGAAGGAUCGGCCCGCGUCUGAUUAGCUAGUUGGUGGGGUAAUGGCCCACCAAGGCGACGAUCAGUAGCUGGUCUGAGAGGAUGAUCAGCCACAUUGGGACUGAGACGCGGCCCAAACUCCUACGGGAGGCAGCAGUGGGGAAUAUUGGACAAUGGGCGCAAGCCUGAUCCAGCCAUGCCGCGUGAGUGAUGAAGGCCUUAGGGUUGUAAAGCUCUUUCGUCCGGGACGAUAAUGACGGUACCGGAAGAAGAAGCCCCGGCUAACUUCGUGCCAGCCGCCGCAGUAA
rnacentral:rRNA from 1 species